AGUGGCGGACGGGUGAGUAACGCGUGAGUAACCUACCUCGCAGUGGGGAAUAACAGUCGGAAACGACUGCUAAUACCGCAUAAUGCAGAGAGACCGCAUGAUCUUUUUGCCAAAGAUUUAUCGCUGUGAGAUGGACUCGCGUCUGAUUAGCUAGUUGGUGGGAUAAUGGCUCACCAAGGCGACGAUCAGUAGCCGGACUGAGAGGUUGACCGGCCACAUUGGGACUGAGACACGGCCCAGACUCCUACGGGAGGCAGCAGUGGGGAAUAUUGGGCAAUGGGCGCAAGCCUGACCCAGCAACGCCGCGUGAAGGAAGAAGGCUUUCGGGUUGUAAACUUCUUUUAACAGGGACGAUAAUGACGGUACCUGUCGAAUAAGCUCCGGCUAACUACGUGCCAGCAGCCGCGGUAAUACGUAGGGAGCAAGCGUUAUCCGGAUUUACUGGGUGUAAAGGGCGUGUAGGCGGGACUACAAGUCAGAUGUGAAAACUAUGGGCUCAACCCAUAGCUUGCAUUUGAAACUGUAGUUCUUGAGUGCUGGAGAGGCAAAUGGAACUCCUAGUGUAGCGGUGAAAUGCGUAGAUAUUAGGAAGAACACCAGUGGCGAAGGCGAUUUGCUGGACAGUAACUGACGCUGAGGCGCGAAAGUGUGGGGAGCGAACAGGAUUAGAUACCCUGGUAGUCCACACCGUAAACGAUGGAACUAGGUUUGGGGGGGGUCUGACCCCCUCCGUGCCGGAGUUAACACAUUAAGUAUCCCACCUGGGGGAGUACGAUCGCAAGGUUGA
rnacentral:rRNA from 1 species